AUACGGAGGAUGCGAGCGUUAUCCGGAUUUAUUGGGCUUAAAGGGUGCGUAGGCGGUUUUUUAAGUCAGCGGUGAAACGCAACGGCUCAACCCUUGACCUGCCGUUGAAACUGGAGGACUUGAAUGCGGAUGAUGUGGGAGGAAUGUGUGGGGUAGCGGUGAAAUGCAUCGAUAUCACACAGAACACCGAUUGCGAAGGCAACUGACCAAGCCGUGAUUGACGCUGAGGCACGAAAGGGUGGGGAUCAAACAGGAUUACAUGCCCUGGUAGGCCACACUGUAAACGAUGAAGACUCGCUGUCGGCGAUAUACAGUCGGUGGCCAAGCGAAAGCGAUAAGUCAUCCACCUCUGGAGUACGACCGCAAGGUUGAAACACAAAUGAAUUGGCUGGG
rnacentral:rRNA from 1 species